GAUUAACGCUGGCGGCGUGCCUAACACAUGCAAGUCGAGCGGCAGCGAGUUUUACACUGAAUUCUGGAAGCUUCUAGUUGAAAGAGAAGAUUUAUUCAAGAAUUUUGUGUAAAAUGUCGGCGAGCGGCGGACGGCUGAGUAACGCGUGGGAACGUACCCCAAAGUGAGGGAUAACGCAUCGAAAGGUGUGCUAAUACCGCAUAUGGUCUUCGGAUUAAAGCCUUCGGGCGCUUUGGGAACGGCCUGCGUAAGAUUAGAUAGUUGGUGGGGUAAUGGCCUACCAAGUCGACGAUCUUUAACUGGUUUGAGAGGAUGAUCAGUCAGACUGGAACUGAGACACGGUCCAGACUCCUACGGGAGGCAGCAGUGAGGAAUCUUCCACAAUGGGCGAAAGACUGAUGGAGCAACGCCGCGUGCAGGAUGAAGGCCUUCGGGUUGUAAACUGCUUUUAUAAGUGAGGAUUAUGACAGUAACUUAUGAAUAAGGAUCGGCUAACUACGUG
rnacentral:rRNA from 1 species